rnacentral:sRNA from 1 species
GCCGGGCGCGGUGGUGCACACCUGUCAUCCCAACACCUUGGGAGGCUGAGGCAGGAGGAUCUCGAGUUCAAAGCCACCUCAGCAAAAGCGAGGUGCAAAGCAACUCAGUGAGACCCUGUCUCUA